AGGUUAAAGAUUUAUCGCUUCUGGAGGGGGGUGCGUCCUAUCAGGUAGUUGGUGAGGUAACUGCUCACCAAGCCUAUGACGGGUAGCCGGUCUGAGAGGAUGUCCGGCCGCAAUGGGACUGAGACACGGCCCAUACUCCUACGGGAGGCAGCAGUGGGGAAUUUUGCGCAAUGGACGAAAGUCUGACGCAGCAAUCUCGCGUGAAGGAUGAAGCAUUAAGGUGUGUAAACUUCUUUUUUGGUGGAAGACGAAUGACGGUACACCAAGAAUAAGGGACGGCUAACUACGUGCCAGCAGCCGCGGUAAUACGUAGGUCCCAAGUGUUAUCCGGAAUUACUGGGCGUAAAGAGUCUGUAGCCUGAUAUAUAAGUCUGUUUUCAAAAUACACGAAGCUCAACUGCGGACAGGGAAUAGAUACUGUAUAUCUUGAGAUUGUAAGGAGGUAGUGGAAUUUCCGGUGGAGCGGUGAAAUGCGUUGAUAUCGGAAGGAACGCCAAAAGCGACAGCAGAUAACUAUAACAAAUCUGACGGUCAG
rnacentral:rRNA from 1 species